rnacentral:rRNA from 1 species
ACUCCUACGGGAGGCAGCAUGGUAGGAUGAUGCAAUGGGGGAAACCCUGAUCCAGCCAUGCCGCGUGUGUGAAGAAGGCCUUCGGGUUGUAAAGCACUUUCAGUGGGGAGGAAGGUAGUGUAGUUAACACCUGCAUUAUUUGACGUUACCUACAGAAGAAGCACCGGCUAACUCCGUGCCAGCAGCCGCGGUAAUACGGAGGGUGCGAGCGUUAAUCGGAAUUACUGGGCGUAAAGCGCAUGCAGGCGGCCUGUUAAGUCAGAUGUGAAAGCCCGGGGCUUAACCUCGGAAUUGCAUUUGAAACUGGCAGGCUAGAGUCUUGUAGAGGGGGGUAGAAUUUCAGGUGUAGCGGUGAAAUGCGUAGAGAUCUGAAGGAAUACCAGUGGCGAAGGCGGCCCCCUGGACAAAGACUGACGCUCAGAUGCGAAAGCGUGGGGAGCAAACAGGAUUAGAUACCCUGGUAGGAUAG